GGCAUUGAGAGUUGAUAUGUCCCAUUCCAAGAUAUUUAAAGCAUUUAAUUGUCCUAUACUUUUGAGAUGAUUUAGGUGUCUUACCUUUUGUAUCAGGUGGUGCAGACUUAUCCUUUUUCUCAUAUGUUCCCUUGAUUUCUUCUUUCAUAGGCCAUUCAGAGCUGUAGGUAGGGUUGGUAUAUGAUGUGCCCAUCCCUUUAUACCUGAGUUGUCUUUCAAUCUUCAUGACCAUGUGCACCAUAUCUUUUAACUCAAGAUAGUGUUGUAAUUCCAUAAUGUUGACAAUCUCCUU
rnacentral:lncRNA from 1 species